rnacentral:rRNA from 1 species
UACAGAGGUCUCAAGCGUUGUUCGGAUUCAUUGGGCGUAAAGGGCGCGUAGGCGGCGGUGUAAGUCGGGUGUGAAAUCUCAGAGCUCAACUCUGAAACUGCACUCGAUACUGCUCUGCUUGAGGACUGGAGAGGAGACUGGAAUUCACGGUGUAGCAGUGAAAUGCGUAGAUAUCUGGAGGAACACCGGUGGCGAAGGCGGCGUUCUGGACUGCUACUGACACUGAGGAACGAAAGCCAGGGGAGCAAACGGG